GGUGGCUCAGUGGUAGAGCACUUGCCCUGCAUGCAUGAGGCUCUGGGUUCGAUUCCUCAGCACCA
rfam:Dipodomys ordii contig_37274, whole genome shotgun sequence.